CCAACAUCUUUUCUGAUUUGCAAUUAGUCUACAAAGAUGGCCACAUUUGAGUUGGCAGUGUUACAAGCCUAUUUGCCAAUCUUCUGCGAGAAUUAAUUAUAAUUAAGAUGCUGAGUAUAAUCUAUCUUCAGUUCCUUUGGAUGUUGACAUAAACUUACUUAUUAAAUAUUAAGCAACUAGCUCCACCAGCUUUGGAAGCAUUAUUGUGCGAUCAAUGCUAUUAUUACUAAUACUGCUUAUGAAGCAUAUCCAAGCUUUGUGUCAUGAUCAGGAAAUCUAAUAUUCUCUAAUUAACAACACUAGCUCGUCGACAUAUUAUAGGAUUCAUAAAAUCUUACCCUAAUUUCUUGGAUUAAUGAUCAUAAUAUCAUAACCACAAGAAAAAUCGUCUGCAGAUCCAUCUGAGUGUAACAUUUUCUUCAUCAGUCAACAUACAUAGCCAAAUCAGCAAUCUAUCCUAUGAUCUCGAGGCCAUCCAAACUCCUCCAAAAAUGCCAAUGCAACUCCAUUUGACCAACCAAAGCCAGUCUGAGGUAAAUAUUUACCACCACGUCCAAAUUCUCCACACUUCUCUACAUUGUAUUUUUCAUGCAUUGCACCUGUUUUCUUGUAUGUGACAUAGUUGGUUCUGAUCCAUCUCACAGCUAUGUCUUCUGCCAGUGACCUCGCUUCUUGUGAUCCAGAUCUUGCCAGACCUUCAACUAUAAUGUGUUGAAAUGGAGCCCAACCAUUUGGAAAGUCCCUGUUGGUACAUCAUUGAAAAUUAUAUUGCCAGACAAGGCAAGUGUAAAAUAUGUUACAUACCAUUGUUCUCCUGAAUUUGUUAAAGACGUGGCAAUUCCAGCAGCACAAAGUAAGCCUGAACUUUCAAGACUUCUCAUGAUACUCUUCACCAAAUUUGCAUCUUCGAGUAUGUGCAAAACAAAAGCAUCGUCAGAAUUCAUCCAGUUAUAAAUGAAUGUACAAUUGUAACUUGACAUAGACUGAUAGAUCAAUUAUUAUCUCAUCAAUCAAAAAGCUUGAGUUCAAUGUUCCAACUAAGUUGUUAGAUGAGUUAUCCAGAUAUAGUGCACAUCGAACUUGUCUUGAUAAUGGAUGAUGCUUGGUAAACAGUAAAAAGGGGCUGUGGAGCUGAAAAAGCUGCUUAAAAACAUAUUUUGCUCAAAAUGAAGUGGAAAAGAUGACCUUCAUCGCACUUUAAGCUUGCGCUUCAAAUUGCAGAACUUCCACUGCAACCUCAAGGCAAAGACUUCAAGCUAUGCUGUAAUGGUAAUUCUCUAUAUCAUGCUUAUACACACAAAGUUUCAAAGUGGAUAUCGAGAGUUACUAACCUGAAUUGAACAUAUCAAUCCACAAAGGAGAGAAGUUUGAAGCAAACACAUUCUGAUUUUGGUUACAAGCAUUCCAUGUUUGAGAUUCCUGACAUGUGGUGCCAGUAGUGAGCCAGUAGUCAAGCCACUGUCCCAUCUUUUCAUUCCAGAAAACAGAGUUGAUUGCCCUCUUUCUUGCUUGAGAAGCUUCCAAGAAACUCGCUGCUAUGCUUUCCUCUCCAGUUUUAUUUGCCAAGAAGGCAAUGUCUAGUUCCAUCUUGAGUAUAAAUACAUUUAAAUCAACAGGUAAGACUGAUGUUGUAGCCAAUGUCGUAAACUCUGAAGAAUUCCUCAUCCAUCUUGUACUGAAAUCCCAUCCAGAUUCAGCAGCUGAAGCCAGUUCUCGGUAAAAUUGCUGUUUCUCAGAGACCUUCAGUAACUUGGAAGCAUAUUUCUUGUCUAAGACUGAAGACUCAGGCCUGGGCUUAUUCCACAUUGCAUAGUACCGACUUAAUGUGUGGUUUCUACCUUGAGCAUCCUGGAUGGUGACUUUAUGUAUUUCAGAAUUCCAAAAUUGAUGUUCCUUGAGCAAUACAGGCAGUGCCUUUUUAGCCAAUUCCAUAUCACCAGUCCUAUUAUAUAUCUCAUAGACCAUUGCACUUAGAAGUGGAGGCUGGCUGCAAAAAUUACCCCAAUAGUGGAACUACUAAAUAGAUAUGCGAGUUCACAAAUGAAAAAAAUAUGUUAAUUUUUUUUUGCACAUAUGUAACUUCAUUGUGCAAAAAGAAUACCAUUAAAUCUCAGCAGCAGUCUUUUCACACAUUUCAAAAGUCUACAUAUCCACUUAACAGAAAGCAUAUAUCUUUGUAAAGGUUGCAAAAGCCUAGGAUGUCUCAGUGAUCAAGACUUUCCAUACCACAAUAUUAAACCUCCAAGUCAUAAUGGAGCAAGCAAGCUUACCAUUGCAGCAGGCUCACAUUCAGUCUCUAUGAAACACCUUUUAAACGUAAGUGGCUAAGGCUGCAAUUUAGACUCCCAUAAAAUAAGAGAUGUGAAAGGCAGUAGCUUUUGAGCUAGUAAAUUGUUGAUUAAAUUGAAUGUUAGAGAGAAACAGGACAAGCAUUAAUGAGAAGGGGCAAAGUCUAGAAACCGUAUAUACUGCAAGUGAAGAAACAAGUCCUGUAGCAGAGUUAAAUGCAGACAAGCACCUCCAGAAAAACAAAAGAAAAAAGAAAAAAGAACAAAGAAAGAAAGAUAAAGACCAACAAUUAAAAAAGUUAAAAGAAAUAUUACCUCCUAUUGGUGUAAUACGCCCUUGCUCCAUUAAGGGCAUAGCCAUAUACAUUUACAAGGGAAAUGAGAUUAGUCACAAUUGAUUUUGCAGUCUCAUACAUUUUACUUGCAAGCAAGCCCCUGAUCACCCAAUAGGAAUCCCAAUAAUAAACCUCUCGAAAACGUGAUCCCGGCACGAUCAUCGGCGCUGGCAAGGGAAGGAAAGUAUGCAAUUCAGGUUGCUUCCGAACCUCAUCCGAGACUUUUCUACUUAAAUUCUUCCAUAAAGAAUGAACAUCCAGCGCCCAUGCUCUCACCUCUGGAUUCUCCACUUUAGGCAAGAACCCAACAGGCUCUGGCAGAAAAUCAGGUGGAUCAUAGUGCACCGCAUCCUUCCCUGCAUCCUGAAAGUACGUUGUUAAAAACUCCUCCAAGUCCUUAACCGAAACAGCCCCAUUUUCAGUCCUUGGAAGCCCAUCAAAGGCCUUCUCAGUGGUUGAGAGACUGUACUUUAAGGACAAAUCAACGUAAAACUUUGGAUCAAAGUGUCUGUCCACAAAGGUGGAUAGUGCAGUUUCUUGGACACGUUCAAGAAAGGCAACCAAGGGAGUUGUCUCCUUGCAUAUAAAAAUAAGAUCAAGAUUUUGAGAUUGAUGAGAGCUGGCCAUUCUUGAUUAAGGGAGUGACAGUGAAGGUUUGAUUAGAGAAGGACCUACGAUUGGAUUUGGAUAGAUAAUGGAGGGGAAUUUCAAGAAGAAGCCAGCAAUUGAAAGUUCUUGGGUUUUGGCUGGAAUUUUUUGUCGGAUGAAGCUUUCAAGGCUCUUCUGUCGCUGGAAUUUUCUGUGGGUG
rnacentral:misc_RNA from 1 species